rnacentral:sRNA from 1 species
UUGAAUUUUCAAUUUGCAACGUAAGGUGAAAUAUUUUCACUGGUCGCUUUCUUUUCAGCUGAUUCAGCAUUAAAGAUAUCUUUGGCAAAAAAACGCUAAUUUCAUCGUAAUCACAAUAAUAACUGACACUCCAAACGAAUCAUGGACAAAAUUUCAAAUAAUCUAUGAAGACGCAGAGAAAAAAAAGCGAAAAUGAACAGGUUCCUCAUCGAAAAUUUCCAAUGACGAUGAUAAAACCGUGGGAAUCUUAUGCAGCCAAAAAGCUGAAAACUUGUCAAAGUGAAUGCCAUGGAAAAUUAGCAAAAAUCAUUGCAAAUCAAAUGGAAGACAUGACAAGCCACAAAGAAACUUUUCAGCCAUCGGUCGGUUCAUCGGGCCAUCGGGCCAAUAACCAAGUUUACAGAUUGAGUGCCGUACAUCAAAGUUCAAAAGUGUCAAACGAUGUACCCAUCCAUGUACCCGCCCAGCCAUCCCUCAAAACCCGCCCAUAAUGCCCCUCUGGAUAUUCGGGGCCCACAACUUUUUUUUUGCAGGAAUCGUGGGCCGAGAAUGGGAACACUCUCCAAAAACUGGUUGGAUGUUGGUCUGGAGCCGAAGCUUAAGCCAAUUUAUAGUUUGUGUGGUGCCGGGCGACAUCGAUGCUGUUUGCCCAAUGCCAUCGGCUUGGCUUGGACGCUUUAAAAGUUUGCUUUGGCCACUGGCACUGAGGGAAAAAAUAUCACAUAGCUUAGGACCAAAAGAAUUAAAAAAAAACAACUUCUUAAAGACAGGAUUUGGUAUUUUUCUCUCUGCAUAGUUUUCUACUACUGCCUUUUCCAAUUUUAGGCAACAAGGUCGUGAGGUGAGCUGUGAGCUGAGAUCUGGUAGCUGGGACUAUCAACUUGGACAAACAUGGAACUAGGUUCGAGUGUGGUUCAAGUGGGCAUGGGGAAACUUAAGCUGUGUCAAAUGUGGGUCAAUCUUAAGCUAACCAAAUAAACGAUUUGUCCGGAUACGGAACCAGGAGCGAGUCGUGCAGAGAAGCAGCCAGAUGAGAUUGAAAUUCGAUUGUGGGGUUCCAGGGAAAAGUGUCCAGAACUCUGAAUCAGAGUUGGAUAAAUACCCACCGAAACUAAAACCUCUAAGCGGAUUGAUUAAGGAAUUCCUUACCAGGAUCGGAUACGAAUUGGCCAAGAUAUGGACAUGG